rnacentral:tRNA from 1 species
GGGGAUAUAGCUCAGACGGAAGAGCGCUUGCAUGGCAUGCAAGAGGCCAGCGGUUCGAUCCCGCUUAUCUCCACAA